rnacentral:rRNA from 1 species
GACGAACGCUGGCGGCGUGCUUAACACAUGCAAGUCGAACGGAAAGGCCCUGCUUUUGUGGGGUGCUCGAGUGGCGAACGGGUGAGUAACACGUGAGUAACCUGCCCUUGAUUUUGGGAUAACUUCAGGAAACUGGGGCUAAUACCGGACAGGAGCUCCUGCUGCAUGGCGGGGGUUGGAAAGUUUCGGCGGUUGGGGAUGGACUCGCGGCUUAUCAGCUCGUUGGGGGGGUAGUGGCUUACCAAGUCAUUGACGGGUAGCCGGCCUGGGAGGGUGACCGGCCACGUUGGGACUGAGAUGCGGCCCAGACUCCUACGGGAGGCAGCAGUGGGGAAUAUUGCACAAUGGGCGGAAGCCUGAUGCAGCAACGCCGCGUGCGGGAUAACGGCCUUCGGGUUGUAAACCGCUUUCGCCUGUGACGAGGCGUGAGUGACGGUAAUGGGUAAAGAAGCACCGGCUAACUACGUG